rnacentral:rRNA from 1 species
GACGAACGCUGGCGGCGUGCUUAACACAUGCAAGUCGAACGGAAGAGGGCUGCUUGUGUGGGGUUCUCGAGUGGCGAAGGGGUGAGUAACACGGGAGUAACCUUGCCUUGGCUGUGGGAUAACUGCAGGAAACUGGGGCUAAUACCGGAUAGGAGCGCCUGCUGCAUGGUGGUGGUUGGAAAGUAUGGGUGGUUGGGGGUGGACUCGCGGCUUAUCAGCUUGUUGGGGGGGGAGUGGCUUACCAAGGCAUUGACUGGUAGCCGGCCUGAGAGGGUGACCGGCCACAUUGGGACUGCGAUACGGCCCAGUCUCCUACGUGAGGCAGCAGUGGGGAAUAUUGUACAAUGGGGGGAAGUCUGAUGAAGCAACGCUGCGUGCGGGAUGACCGCCUUCGGGUUGUGAACCGCUUUAGCCUGUGACGAAGCGUGAGUGACGGUAAUAGGUAAAGAAGCACCGGCUAACUACGUG